UGAAGGCAACAUGAAGUUUGGAGGUCUGAAGCUAUUGGCUCUGCAGAAGAUUUGUAUGUGAACUAUGCACUUUAGUAUCAGCUGACCCCUGUAAUUUUUACAUGGCCUCCCACUUUGUGGAUACAUUCCUGUUAUUUCCAAUCACUUCCAGUUUGUCAUGAUACCACUAACAGUUGACUGUGGAAAAGUUAGGAGUGAGGACAUUUCAUGACUGGGCUUAGUUUACUGGUUGCAUCCUAUCAUGGUACCAUAUCAGAAUUCACUGAGCUCCUGAGAGCAACCAUAAGUAGAGUCAAAAUGUAAGGGGUCAGUCAGGGAGCAGUGUUUCUGAAGGAGUUCAUCAGACUACCACAGCACAGUUCAUGUUGGGUUUUAGGAGUGUUCAAUUAUCUGUAAAAAAUUUUGACAGUGGGGGUUGUGGUUUUGUUGGAUAUUCCAGUGGAAAGGAAAUAAGUCAUAUACGUUUUCCUUAAAAACUGCCUAUAAACUGAAUCCGUUUAGCAUUAAUCAGCAGUGCAGAAACCCUACUACCAUGAUUUCUGAUUUCCAAGCAGAUAGAGGGUAAGAGAGAGACAGAGGCAAACAUCCAAACGUCUUUCUCCAUCAAAGAUGGCCAUUCUGAAAUCCUGUGGUUCCUGAUCCCUCUCCUGCCAGCAGAUCUGAGCGGAGAACGGAAAACCACCAGGUUUGUCGUGAGUCUCCCUUCCACUCCUGCCUCCAGCCCUGACACUCAAAGAACGCCUCUCACAGAGACCUGACUCUUGUUCACCUGCCUCUACACCCUCCAAUGCCGCAUAAUCCCUCAGACCGAACUUAUAUCAAACAGCACACUACUACACACUCUCUGCCAGCCUCUGACACCGUGGAAAUACUAACCUCACACACCAAGCCCACCUCGGCCUUCCUCAUGAGUUCCAGUCCCAGAGCUGCUUCCUGUUCAGCUUUCCAGCCACCUCCUCCUACAAUAUCAAUAAACUGUUUAAAACGC